rnacentral:rRNA from 1 species
UACGAGGGGGGCAACUGUUGUUCGGAAUCACUGGGCGUAAAGGGAGCGUAGGCGGGUUCUUAAGUUAGGUGUUUAAUCCCGGGGCCCAACCCCGGACCGGCACUUAAAACUGGGAAUCUUGAAUAGUGGAGAGGUCAGUGGAAUUGGAGGUGUAGCGGUGGAAUGCGUAGAGAUCUCCAAGAACACCAGUUGCGAAGGCGGCUGACUGGACACAUAUUGACGCUGAGGCUCGAAAGCAUGGGGAGCAAACAGG